GAAAUGCGAUAAGUAAUGUGAAUUGCAGAAUUCAGUGAAUCAUCAAAUCUUUGAACGCACCUUGCGCUCCUUGGUAUUCCUUGGAGCAUGCCUGUUUGAGUAUCAUGAAAUCUUCAAAGUAAAUCUUUUGUUAACUCAAUUGGUUUCUACUUUGGUAUUGGAGGUCUUUGCAGCUUCACACCUGCUCCUCUUUGUUCAUUAGCUGGAUCUCAGUGUUAUGCUUGGUUCCACUCGGCGUGAUAAGUUAUCUAUCGCUGAGGACACUGUAAAAGGUGGCCAAGGUAAAUGCAGAUGAACCGCUUCUAAUAGUCCAUUGACUUGGACAAUACUUUUAUGAUCUGAUCUCAAAUCAGGUAGGACUACCCGCUGAACUUAAGCA
rnacentral:misc_RNA from 1 species